GCUGGGUGUGGUGGUGCACACCUGUAAUCCCAGCUACUUAGGAGGCUGAGGCAGGAGGAUUGCUUGAACCCAGGAGGUCAAGGCUACAGGGAGCCCUGAUUGCAUCAUUGCACUCCAGCCUAGGUGACAGAGCAAUACCCUGUCUCCA
ensembl:misc_RNA Metazoa_SRP Metazoan signal recognition particle RNA